UGACAUGUUUCGAUAUGUAGAGAGUGUCGAUCAACAUGAUCCCGCUGAGGUCCCGGAGACGGAUGUGGUGGCUCCUGUCACUCCUGAACUAGCUUCCCCUCCAGUGCAGCAAAAUCACAUUUCCGAGCUGAGUACACUAUCAGUAGAGGAAGCUAAUGAGGGAGAAAUCUACAAUCCACCUGAGAAUGCUGAUGUGCCUGUUGAAGAGGAAG
rnacentral:misc_RNA from 1 species